rnacentral:tRNA from 1 species
GGUAGUCGAACCAAGAUCAAUCCCAAAAGGUCGGAACGAGGUAUGUGGCUUUCAAACUAGGUUCUGGGUUCAUAAAAGACCUGAAUCAGGAACAAGGGCUAUUAGCUCAGGUGGUUAGAGCGCACCCCUGAUAAGGGUGAGGUCCCUGGUUCGAGUCCAGGAUGGCCCACCUGCACAGGUGGCAAAAACAAAAAAAACAAGGAAGGAAUCCCCACCUUUUCUUACUUUUAUAGAAAGAAAGAAUGCGGGCUCUGAGUACUCAGUCCGAACCAACCUUGAUAACUGCAUAUAGCUGAAUGAAAAAACCAAAAAAAACGACCACAAA